ensembl:snRNA U1 U1 spliceosomal RNA
AUGGCCAAUUGGCAGAGUGAUCAGAACACACAUAGCAUUUAUUGAUGAAGUUUGCUCCUGCAGUUUUCACAAAUGUGUGAAACUUGACUGCAUAAUUUGUGGUAGUGGGAGACUGCAUUUGCACUCUCCCC